UGAAAGAUCAGAUGCUGCAGCAGUGCUGUGUGUGUGGCUUCUGCUACUCCAACCGAUUCGUAAUUGCCCACAGGGUAAAACCCAGGUGGGUUAGAUUGGUAUGAUGUGGACUUUACUCUGCAGUGACCCAGGCAGGCACCUGUAUAUCCAGUUGAUUACAAUCCUUACUGGUCUUGCGCGUGAAGUAUGUUUGUGGAGCCAUGGCUCAGCCAGGGGAGUUAAGCCAGGUGUCUAACACUGACUGACCCAGACACCCCUUGUGCCUUCAUCAUGGCAUUAGAGACCCCAUGACGAUGCAGUCUCCACCACAACUCAUAUACAUCUAUAAUAGUCUCCUAAUCAUUGGGUGAGCCUCUUUUUAUAAGAGUGAAGUGAUAAGAGAUAAAAGCUAACUUUCCUCCAUUUCUCAGGGGCAGAACAACUCUCCCAUCUGUGGAGAAAAAACAGUGUGAGGGUGGAAGAGGAGAUGGCCAUUUAUAAAAUGACACCAGCCAGCUAUAAAUCAUGCCUCUGAUUGCUUUGGUCAAUACCUCCCCACGUCAGGGCAAUCUGCCUUGGUUACACAUUCAGGAGGAAGCAUAGGAAAUGUACAAUAGGGCAAAUUUCAGAGAAAAACAACCCAAUACUUUAGGGGCUGAAAGAGACCGGGGUUCAACUGUAGUGUAGCCUAUGGAAGGGGAUAACUAGUGCAUGCAAGUGUGUGUAUGUGUAUGCGUGAGUGUGUGAUGUGGUGUGUGAGGUGUAUAAGUAUGAGGCGUGUGAGUAUGAGGUGUAUAAGUAUGAGGCGUGUGAGUAUGAGGUGUGUGAGUAUGAGGUGUAUAAGUAUGAGGUGUGUGAGUAUGAGGUGUAUAAGUAUGAGGCGUGUGAGUAUGAGGUGUAUAAGUAUGAGGCGUGUGUAUGAGGUGUAUAAGUAUGAGGCGUGUGAGUAUGAGGUGUGUGCGCGUGAAAAUUAAGAGUUCUGCAUCAAAAUAAGCAACUCAUUAGAAAAGAUGCUUCCGAAAAAUGCCACCGUGUUACAAAAACAAGGUGAGAAGAAAACCCUGUAUGGUUGGUUGGUUGCAUUAACAGCUAGUCCUUAGCAGUCUUUCCCAAUUAAAGGCGAAAGCAAUUAAGAAAGCUAAGCCUUUGUGUUGUUCCAUUGUUUGUGAUAAUGGCUGAGGGAGAAGGAGAGGAGAAAGCAGAGCAGGCUGUGUGCUGCUGUUAUCUAAUUGCGUUUACCCUGAGGUUAUAGUGUCCAUAAUAGAGCCAAUGAAUAAUCUUGUUGGGAGAAAUGCAUUGUAUCCUUAGCAUGAAAUAACUUUUCUUUUGCGAGUGAGGAGAGCUGAAUGCUGGGGGAAAAGAAAGAGAAAAAAAAUAGCUUUUUACCCCUGAAUUCCGAACCAGAACAUUCUAAAUGAAAAAAGACCUCGCCUGCUCUUGUGUAUGUUACUCAGAACUGACUGUUCACAUCAGUGUGGCCUUCAUUAGCCCAUCUGGGUUGUACAAACAGUAAGGGCGGAACAGGAUUUAAUGAAACAGUGCUGCUGCUAGCCCAGGGCCCACAGGCAUGUACGCCAGUGCUGUUCUGUUCCACUGUGUGUGUGUGUGUGUGUGUGUGUGUGUUCAACAUUCUCAAACAAAAGAGUUCCUGAUGACUGUAGCAGAUCCUGAGGUGUUUAGUCCUGGUCUGGGCUGACUGACAUUUAUAUUUUUCAACCAUAGAGAUGCCAGCCCUCAUCAAUCUGGAAUGUUAUUUGCAACUAAAGAGAAUGUAUGUGUACUUAAAUGAGUGAGGGAGGGGAGAGAGAUACAGUGAGAAAGGAGAGAGAGAGUCUCAGUAUGGUAAUGUUUCCAAACAGGCAACACAAAAGGUGUCAAAAAUCAAACUGUCAAACAAGGAAAUUGCAUUGGUGGUGUUAACUGAGAGCGAGCUACUCCGAGCUGAGGGGGAGGGGGGAGUAACAGAUUAACUGACACUUCUCUAAUUAAAGGUGAGGGGGGGGGGGGGGGG
rnacentral:lncRNA from 13 species